AUUGAACGCUGGCGGCAGGCCUAACACAUGCAAGUCGAACGGAUGAAGGGAGCUUGCUCCUGGAUUCAGCGGCGGACGGGUGAGUAAUGCCUAGGAAUCUGCCUGGUAGUGGGGGAUAACGUCCGGAAACGGGCGCUAAUACCGCAUACGUCCUGAGGGAGAAAGUGGGGGAUCUUCGGACCUCACGCUAUCAGAUGAGCCUAGGUCGGAUUAGCUAGUUGGUGGGGUAAAGGCCUACCAAGGCGACGAUCCGUAACUGGUCUGAGAGGAUGAUCAGUCACACUGGAACUGAGACACGGUCCAGACUCCUACGGGAGGCAGCAGUGGGGAAUAUUGGACAAUGGGCGAAAGCCUGAUCCAGCCAUGCCGCGUGUGUGAAGAAGGUCUUCGGAUUGUAAAGCACUUUAAGUUGGGAGGAAGGGCAGUAAGUUAAUACCUUGCUGUUUUGACGUUACCAACAGAAUAAGCACCGGCUAACUUCGU
rnacentral:rRNA from 1 species